CUUAACACAUGCAAGUCGAACGGAAAGGCCCUGCUUUUGUGGGGUGCUCGAGUGGCGAACGGGUGAGUAACACGUGAGUAACCUGCCCUUGACUUUGGGAUAACUUCAGGAAACUGGGGCUAAUACCGGAUAGGAGCUCCUGCUGCAUGGUGGGGGUUGGAAAGUUUCGGCGGUUGGGGAUGGACUCGCGGCUUAUCAGCUUGUUGGUGGGGUAGUGGCUUACCAAGGCUUUGACGGGUAGCCGGCCUGAGAGGGUGACCGGCCACAUUGGGACUGAGAUACGGCCCAGACUCCUACGGGAGGCAGCAGUGGGGAAUAUUGCACAAUGGGCGGAAGCCUGAUGCAGCAACGCCGCGUGCGGGAUGACGGCCUUCGGGUUGUAAACCGCUUUCGCCUGUGACGAAGCGUGAGUGACGGUAAUGGGUAAAGAAGCACCGGCUAACUACGUGCCAGCAGCCGCGGUGAUACGUAGGGUGCGAGCGUUGUCCGGAUUUAUUGGGCGUAAAGGGCUCGUAGGUGGUUGAUCGCGUCGGAAGUGUAAUCUUGGGGCUUAACCCUGAGCGUGCUUUCGAUACGGGUUGACUUGAGGAAGGUAGGGGAGAAUGGAAUUCCUGGUGGAGCGGUGGAAUGCGCAGAUAUCAGGAGGAACACCAGUGGCGAAGGCGGUUCUCUGGGCCUUUCCUGACGCUGAGGAGCGAAAGCGUGGGGAGCGAACAGGCUUAGAUACCCUGGUAGUCCACGCUGUAAACGGUGGGUACUAGGUGUGGGGUCCAUUCCACGGGUUCCGUGCCGUAGCUAACGCUUUAAGUACCCCGCCUGGGGAGUACGGCCGCAAGGCUAAAACUCAAAGGAAUUGACGGGGCCCCGCACAAGCGGCGGAGCAUGCGGAUUAAUUCGAUGCAACGCGUAGAACCUUACCUGGGUUUGACAUGGAUCGGGAGUGCUCAGAGAUGGGUGUGCCUCUUUUGGGGUCGGUUCACAGGUGGUGCAUGCCUGUCGUCAGCUCGUGUCGUGAGAUGUUGGGUUAAGUCCCGCAACGAGCGCAACCCUUGUUCACUGUUGCCAGCACGUUAUGGUGGGGACUCAGUGGAGACCGCCGGGGUCAACUCGGAGGAAGGUGGGGAUGACGUCAAGUCCUCAUGCCCCUUAUGUCCAGGGCUUCACGCAUGCUACAAUGGCUGGUACAGAGAGUGGCGAGCCUGUGAGGGUGAGCGAAUCUCGGAAAGCCGGUCUCAGUUCGGAUUGGGGUCUGCAACUCGACCUCAUGAAGUCGGAGUCGCUAGUAAUCGCAGAUCAGCAACGCUGCGGUGAAUACGUUCCCGGGGCUUGUACACACCGCCCGUCAAGUCAUGAAAGUUGGUAACACCCGAAGCCGGUGGCCUAACCGUUGUGGGGGAGCCGUCGAAGGUGGGACUGGUGAUUAGGACUAAGUC
rnacentral:rRNA from 1 species